rnacentral:rRNA from 1 species
AACGAACGCUGGCGGCAUGCCUAACACAUGCAAGUCGAACGAGACCUUCGGGUCUAGUGGCGCACGGGUGCGUAACGCGAGGGAAUCUGCCCUCUGGUUCGGAAUAACUCAGGGAGACUUGAGCUAAUACCGGAUAAUGACUUCGGUCCAAAGAUUUAUCGCCUGAGGAUGAGCCCGCGUCGGAUUAGCUAGUUGGUGAGGUAAAGGCUCACCAAGGCGACGAUCCGUAGCUGGUCUGAGAGGAUGAUCAGCCACACUGGGACUGAGACACGGCCCAGACUCCUACGGGAGGCAGCAGUGGGGAAUAUUGGACAAUGGGCGAAAGCCUGAUCCAGCAAUGCCGCGUGAGUGAUGAAGGCCUUAGGGUUGUAAAGCUCUUUUACCCGGGAUGAUAAUGACAGUACCGGGAGAAUAAGCCCCGGCUAACUCCGUGCCAGCAGCCGCCGUAA